CAGUAGCCGCGGUAAUACGGAGGAUCCAAGCGUUAUCCGGAAUCAUUGGGUUUAAAGGAUCCGUAGGCGGUCUUGUAAGUCAGUGGUGAAAGCCCAUCGCUCAACGGUGGAACGGCCAUUGAUACUGCAGGACUUGAAUUAUUGGGAAGUAACUAGAAUAUGUAGUGUAGCGGUGAAAUGCUUAGAGAUUACAUGGAAUACCAAUUGCGAAGGCAGGUUACUACCAAUUGAUUGACGCUGAUGGACGAAAGCGUGGGUAGCGAACAGGAUUAGAGACCCCAGUAGUCCCUGUCUCUUAUAA
rnacentral:rRNA from 1 species